CUUUUUAAUUUUUAAAGAGAUGAAUUAAUUUACUUUUUAAAUUUUCUUUCUAAUGGCAUACCUAUGUAAUUACUUACAAAAAAUAAGGUUACAUUUAAAAUGUACUUCCCAAAUAAUAUAGUAGGAUAUGUUUUUCAAAAGUUAACAUAUAGAUUUAUUUUUUUGUCAUCUGGGAUUUAUAUAUUGAUCUUUUGAAAUAACCAAAACAUCUUACAAAUACCGGAACGAAGCUAUACCAAAAAGAGCUUCCAACUACACUAAGUCAUUUAUAGAAACAUGACCUAUACAAAAGAAUGAGACUCCCAAAAGGAGCCCAUGAAAGCGAUCAGAUAGAGGAUAGAACUCUCUCAUUAGCAAAGAGAUCGUUGAGCCACGAGGGGUGACUAGAGGCGAUAUAGGAGCGAAUUCUAUAUCCCUUAGAAACACUUUGCGCGAUGAGACGAGCUCCUCUAUUCGCUUGGUAACCUACCUUAUCAAACUUCCAAGACUGAAACCUUUCCAACAACCCCAAAAGUUCCAGCGCUUCCCCUUUGAAGGAUGGCCAAGCUUUUGGCCUUAGAACACAUCCCACCAAAGAAGCAUCCUCAGUUUCUAGAAUUACCUUUGUGAUACCGAGACUUAGCAGACUUUCCAAAGACCAGAAGGCAGCUUGGAAGGAUGCUGAAUCUUUGUCUCUAAUGUUGGGGAUAGCGUUGCGGCUGUGUAGUAACACUACUCCCCUUUCAUCUCUUAAGACCCAUGAACACCCCAACAAAGAGUUCCCAGCUGACCAAGCACAUCCCACAUUGCAUUUGAGCCAAGAACUAGGUGGGGGUUUCCACACAUUCGGACAAGUGGCACUAGGCGUGACAGUUCUCCCUAACUCCACCACGGGGGAACUCGUGUUCUCUCCAACAGAACCAUGAAUUGUCUCUGAAACUUGAGCCGCAAACCAUUCCUGCACAUCAUCAUCAAUCUUGCUAAUAGUAUCACUUGCCAAGAACUGAUUCCCUUCAAAAAACAAGGAGUUCCUAUUUUUCCAGAUUCUCCAAAUGAUCCAUGGGAACUUUUUCUUUAAAAGAGAUGGCCAAUUCCUGUUAUCUCUAUUAAUAAGAAGAUGAUUAAUGUUGGAGAAAACAGAACCUUUGUCAAAACCAAACUCUGGCGAUGGAUAAUCAGACAAAGCCCAAAUCUGUCUCGCAAUAGGGCAGGAAAACAGAACAUGAUUAAUAGUUUCAUCACUUCCGCCACACCCUUGACAAACAUUAUCCAACCUCAUCCCUCUCCUGUUCAAACGAUCAGCUACCGGUAAGGCACCACUCAGAGCUUUCCAGAGAAAGACCUUGAUCUUAGGGUCAGUUUGAAGUUUCCAGGCCUGAUCCUUCAGCGUGUUGAUAGAAGGAAAAUUUGAAGCAUCUCUCCUAACCUUCGAGUUUUGAAUUUGGCAAGCCAACCAGUAGGCAGAUUUCACAGAGAAGUCCCCACUUUUGUUAUGUCUCCAAACUAGAAAAUCUUCUUGAGAGACAAGAGGCUUUUUCUUCCUUAUCUUU
rnacentral:sRNA from 1 species